GAUGAACGCUGGCGGCGUGCCUAAUACAUGCAAGUCGAGCGAAUGGAUGAGAGCUUGCUCUCAGAAGUUAGCGGCGGACGGGUGAGUAACACGUGGGUAACCUGCCCUUAAGACUGGGAUAACAUCGAGAAAUCGGUGCUAAUACCGGAUAAUUUAUUUGACCGCAUGGUCGAAUAAUGAAAGGUGGCGUAAGCUACCACUUAUGGAUGGACCCGCGGCGUAUUAGCUAGUUGGUGAGGUAAUGGCUCACCAAGGCAACGAUACGUAGCCGACCUGAGAGGGUGAUCGGCCAAACUGGGACUGAGACACGGCCCAGACUCCUACGGGAGGAAGCAGUAGGGAAUCUUCCGCAAUGGACGUAAGUCUGACGGAGCAACGCCGCGUGAGUGAUGAAGGCUUUCGGGUCGUAAAACUCUGUUGUUAGGGAAGAACAAGUACCGUUCGAAUAGGGCGGUACCUUGACGGUACCUAACCAGAAAGCCACGGCUAACUACGUGCCAGCCGCCGCUGUAA
rnacentral:rRNA from 1 species